ACAUACAUACAGUUAGGUUCAGAUGAGGGAUUCCGUUUUUUGCAUUUCGUGCGGGACUCCCAUCUCAGCCGUUGGAUCUCAUCCAACGGCUGGCGUUUUAAAGAGCAUCUCGCGGAUCUCAAGCGGUCGGGUCACGGGUAAAAAGAGUUCUCGCGGGUCAUGGGCACGCACAAACGGAUCCCUUAUUUCUUUCUUUUCGUUUCACGCUGAAACAGAGAGAGAGAGAGAACAAGAAGAACACACAGCGACAAACUCAGACGAUUUGGCGAUUUCGACGAAGACUAUGAAGAACUCAGACGAUUUCGACGAAGAACACCACUAGGUGUUGACUGUUGAGUUGGAAAGCUCCAGACCAAGGCCACGAAGUCUCCAAGAACUUGUUUUGUUGAUGCAUAGCGAAAUUGGUGCAGGGAAGAUUGUUGUACUACGUUAGGGAACCAGUAAAAAUCAGGACUUGUAUUUUGUUGCUUUGAUCAAUGUAUUUCCGAUUUCUAAUAUAAGUUUUAGUUUGAUUAUAAAAGAUGAUCAACUUAUGUUAUGGAGUGAUGUUAUGGAGAGAUAGAGAGAUAGAGCUAUGUUAUGGAGUUAUGUUGUUAUGAAUUGUGAACAUUUGCAAACAUUUGCUUUAUUCAAUUCCAGUUGCUCUCUUGUGGGUCUCUCA